rnacentral:lncRNA from 1 species
CUCCAUGCUUAUACCCAUUGCCAAUUCUGCUUGCAGGUUUACAGAGGGUUCCCAGAUGCCGUCAGUGGAAUUCCCAACCUUGGAGGACAGAGAAAUUGCUCUCCAAUAAUGCCCAGUCUAAGAAGUAAUGUUUUCACGAAGAACUAGUGCACCUUCAGAAGACCUGCAGUGGAUAGGGAGUAUGUAAGGGGCUAAUUUUGAUGCCAGCAACCCUAGGAUUGGUUGCUGGGGAAAGGCAUAGAGUUCUAGGUGCAAUGUUUUAAGGGGAAGACUUACACUAUGAAGCUAGCCCAGAAGAGGGUGACUAGAGUACUGAGGAGUUUCUACCUGGAAGGGCUGUAAGACAACUGCUAUGUUGUGAGCGGCUCUAUGGAGAGGCCCAUGUGGAGGGAAGUGAGGAAGGCCUCUGGCCAACAGUCCAGGAGGAAGUGAAGCCCUCAGUCCAACAGCCUGUGUGGAACUGAACCCUGCAAACAACUCUGUGUGUGAGCUUGGAAGUGGAUCCAUAUUCAGUCAAACCUUGAGAUGGGACACCAUGCUCUGCUAACACUUGAUUGUGGUCCCAGCUAGGCCACUGCUGAAGUCUUGACUCAGAGAAACGAUGAUAUAGUAAAUGUUUGUUGUUUCAAGUUGGUAAGUUUUGGGAUAAUUUUUUAUAUAGUGAUAAUUUUUUAUAUACUUUAAAAUAACACAUUGCCCUAUCCUUUGGUUACACUUUUCUCUUGGAACUCUGCUUGCCCAUAUAUUACAGAAAUAUUUUUCAGAUCAUGGGCUGAAAGGUGGAUUAUGGAUGCAAUGUUUAAAUUUAGCAAUGUCAUUUAUGACUGUUCAUAUGAGCUUUGCUGCAUAAAAUGUUGAUAUUAAUUUGUUUCCCUUUAAGACAUUCUUAAUGUUUACCUCUCAGUAUUUUCUUUGUAAUCAAUUAAUGUAAGAUGAAUAUAGUUUGUAGGUUUUACCUUUCUUGAUUCGUAUACAAAACACACAACAUCCAACCAUUGUUAUUUAAAGAUUAUCUAGGAGGAGAUGAUGGAAACUCUGUUUUGGGCCACCUUCUUUACACAUUGGGUCUAUUUCCCCUAACUUGAGUAUAUAUUAAACUAGUGGGGGAUUGAGCUACAAAAAUGCUACUUGGUGAGAAUUUUAUUAAUACAAAUACUCAACUCUGAAGUUACGUUUUUGUGGAAAGUUAUCACUUUGGAAUUUGAAUUUUCUUGGAGCUAAGCCACUGGUAGUUGUAAAAGCUACACCUGUAAAUUUGCUCCCUAGAAGAUACUUUCGUUUAGUGACCACUUGUUUCUCUGUGGAUAAAUUCAAUUAUAAAUUACAA